CCUACGGGGGGCUGCAGUGGGGAAUAUUGGACAAUGGGCGAAAGCCUGAUCCAGCCAUGCCGCGUGUGUGAAGAAGGCCUUCGGGUUGUAAAGCACUUUCAGUGGGGAAGAAAGCCUUGGGGCUAAUACCCUCGAGGAAGGACAUCACCCACAGAAGAAGCACCGGCUAACUCCGUGCCAGCAGCCGCGGUAAUACGGAGGGUGCGAGCGUUAAUCGGAAUUACUGGGCGUAAAGCGCGCGUAGGCGGUCUGAUAAGCCGGUUGUGAAAGCCCCGGGCUCAACCUGGGAACGGCAUCCGGAACUGUCAGGCUAGAGUGCAGGAGAGGAAGGUAGAAUUCCCGGUGUAGCGGUGAAAUGCGUAGAGAUCGGGAGGAAUACCAGUGGCGAAGGCGGCCUUCUGGACUGACACUGACGCUGAGGUGCGAAAGCGUGGGUAGCAAACAGGACUAGAUACCCCGGUAGUC
rnacentral:rRNA from 1 species